CCCUCGGUAGCUCAAUGGUAGAGCGUUGGGAAUGGGAAUGCAUUUCAAGAUGGCAUUUAACCUAGUAUUAAGAUCCUCCCCUUCCCAGAGGUUGCUGGUUCAAGUCCAGUCUGAGGGA
rnacentral:tRNA from 1 species